ensembl:lncRNA
CGGAAACAUUGGAUUGAUUUAAAAGCAGCCCACUGGCAGCUUUCCACCCAUGGCUUUGGAAAGAAAGAACCAUUGUCACCCCCACCCCUGCCGUGUUUAAGCUGACAAUAUCUGCACCAACCAUUUAUUCCUGUCUUCACCUGUGACAAGGAUCGCUGGGUUACUGUGAAGAUGUGACAGAAGCUUUGUGCUGCAGUCGCUAUGAGGACACUAAGGCUUUUGCUGGUAACCCUGACGCUGCUGGUGCUGGAAAGUCAGGGUUUUGAACUGCAGGAUACGAUCCAUGCGCUGAUAGAGGAGAACAUCCACCUCCAUGACCAGCUGGAGAACCUCACCAAGGCCCUCAGAGAGCUCAAACGGAUGCUGUGGCUUCACUCAAAUGACCCAGAUCAUCACCAUGAACAUCAUGAUGAAGAUGUCCAGCAUCUGUGGGACGAAUGGUCAGAACAUGGUAUCAGUGCAGAAACCCACCUCCUGCUGGAAAACACCUUUUGUGGGCAUGGCCUGCAUGGCUCAGCAGCUCCUCUCCACGGACACGGAGCACACCUCAUACGCCUGCUGAUGCUGCUGCAGCUGCUGCUGAUAAUGAUGAGAUGCCUGUAGGCUGCAGCGGUCUGAUGUCAGAAAAUGUUUCUUUCAUCCCGUCUCCCUCCCCUCACCCACUUGCAGCAGAUGGCUGAUUCAACCUGAGCCUGGAGGUUUCUUCCUGUUGAAAGGGAGUUUUUCCUUCCCACUGUCACCAAGUGAUCGCUCAUAACUGCUUGUUGGGGCUUGUCCUUCUAACAUUGCAG